CCUACGGGAGGCAGCAGUGGGGAAUAUUGGACAAUGGGGGGAACCCUGAUCCAGCGACGCCGCGUGAGUGAAGAAGUAUUUCGGUAUGUAAAGCUCUAUCAGCAGGGAAGAAAAAGACGGUAACUGACUAAGAAGCCCCGGCUAACUACGGGCCAGCAGCCGCGGGAAUAAGGAGGGGGCAAGCGGUAUCCGGAUUUACUGGGUGGAAAGGGGGGGUAGACGGGGCAGGAAGUCUGAUGUGAAAGUUCGGGGCCCAACCCCGGGGUUGCAUUGGAAACUGUUAGACUGGAGUACAGUAGAGGUAGGCGGAAUUCCUAGUGUAGCGGUGAAAUGCGUAGAUAUUAGGAGGAACACCAGUGGCGAAGGCGGCUUACUGGACUGUAACUGACGCUGAGGCUCGAAAGCGUGGGGAGCAAACAGGAUUAGAUACCCCAGUAGUC
rnacentral:rRNA from 1 species